rnacentral:rRNA from 1 species
UACGUAGGGAGCAAGCGUUGUCCGGAAUCAUUGGGCGUAAAGCGCGCGUAGGUGGCCACAUAAGUCCGUUGUGAAAGUCAAAGGCUCAACCUUUGAAAGCCGAUGGAUACUGUGUGGCUAGAGUACGGAAGAGGUGAGUGGAAUUCCUGGUGUAGCGGUGGAAUGCGCAGAUAUCAGGAGGAACACCAAUAGCGAAGGCAGCUCGCUGGGACGUUACUGACACUGAGGCGCGAAAGCGUGGGGAGCGAACAGG